GGAGCAAACGCGCAGGCGCCCAUUUCGUAGCAAGGAGGGAAGAAGUGCAGCCUCUACUCGUUUCCAGAAAAGCAGCCGGGAGAAGGCUCCUACUGCAAACUUACCCCUGUGUAUUCCAUAAUCUUGAUCGGAUAAUGUUGAACAUGGCUUUCAUCAUAAUGUGAGGAAGUGUUUGAAUGUGAGGUAUUAUCAAUGUCUCUUGGGCAUCUCUUCAGAAAAAAGUACCAUAAUAUAAGAAGAUUCUACAAUGCUUUCAGAAUGAGUCAGCCCACCACUUUAUCUGCUCCAACUCUGCCUGUACUUGGGACUUCUGAAUCUAUACAAGGGCUACUUCAUUUACACAAGGGGACGAUGAUGACACAUGAUUUCAUGUGCUACUUAGAUCCUGUGCCUAUGCAAAUGAAUCUUUGCUUACUAGCGCAGCCAUGGGUCCAUGGCCUAGGGGUUGAACACCCCCUCCUCUAUAGGAUUGACAAAGAACUAGUGCAAGAUUGGAAGAUGUGGAAAGACCUGGCCUGUAGAAUCACCAAGAGUCAGGCACAACUUGAAUGGAUAACAUCAUUAUCAUAAGAUUAAACCCAUAAAAAGCUGUAGUUACUGUAUGUGUAUCAGGUUUUGGUGCUGGAUUGGUUCCUGCAGCAAUUUCGUCCCUUGGAAGAGGGUGGAAAAACGUGUAUACCAGGUCACACUGCA